AGCCAGCAGCCGCGGUAAUACUCCUACGGGAGGCAGCAGUGGGGAACUUUGCGCAAUGGGGGCAACCCUGAUCCAGCAAUGCCGCGUGGAUGAUGAAGGCCUUCGGGUUGUAAAGUCCUUUCGGCGGGGAAGAUGAUGACGGUACCCGCAGAAGAAGCCCCGGCUAACUUCGUG
rnacentral:rRNA from 1 species